AAUGAACGCUGGCGGCAGGCUUAACACAUGCAAGUCGAACGCACCUUUCGGGGUGAGUGGCAGACGGGUGAGUAACGCGUGGGAAUCUACCCUUCUCUACGGGAUAGCUCCGGGAAACUGGAAUUAAUACCGUAUACGACCUGAGGGAGAAAGAUUUAUCGGGGAAGGAUGAGCCCGCGUUGGAUUAGCUAGUUGGUGGGGUAAAGGCCUACCAAGGCGACGAUCCAUAGCUGGUCUAAGAGGAUGAUCAGCCACAUUGGGACUGAGACACGGCCCAAACUCCUACGGGAGGCAGCAGUGGGGAAUAUUGGACAAUGGGCGCAAGCCUGAUCCAGCCAUGCCGCGUGAGUGAUAAAGGCCCUAGGGUUGUAAAGCUCUUUCAGUGGGGACGAUAAUGACGGUACCCACAGAAGAAGCCCCGGCUAACUUCGUGCCAGCCGCCGCCGUAAAAC
rnacentral:rRNA from 1 species